GACGAACGCUGGCGGCGUGCUUAACACAUGCAAGUCGAGCGGUAAGGCCCUUUCGGGGGUACACGAGCGGCGAACGGGUGAGUAACACGUGGGUGACCUGCCCUCAGCUCUGGGAUAAGCCUGGGAAACUGGGUCUAAUACUGGAUAUGACUCCACGGUGCAUGUCGUGGGGUGGAAAGCCUUGUGCGGCUGAGGAUGGGCCCGCGGCCUAUCAGCCUGUUGGUGGGGNGAUGGCCUACCAAGGCGACGACGGGUAGCCGGCCUGAGAGGGCGACCGGCCACACUGGGACUGAGACACGGCCCAGACUCCUACGGGAGGCAGCAGUGGGGAAUCUUGCGCAAUGGGCGAAAGCCUGACGCAGCGACGCCGCGUGAGGGAUGACGGCCUGGU
rnacentral:rRNA from 1 species